rnacentral:rRNA from 1 species
ACCGCAUGGUUCAAAAGUGAAAGACGGUCUUGCUGUCACUUAUAGAUGGAUCCGCGCUGCAUUAGCUAGUUGGUAAGGUAACGGCUUACCAAGGCAACGAUGCAUAGCCGACCUGAGAGGGUGAUCGGCCACACUGGAACUGAGACACGGUCCAGACUCCUACGGGAGGCAGCAGUAGGGAAUCUUCCGCAAUGGGCGAAAGCCUGACGGAGCAACGCCGCGUGAGUGAUGAAGGUCUUCGGAUCGUAAAACUCUGUUAUUAGGGAAGAACAUAUGUGUAAGUAACUGUGCACAUCUUGACGGUACCUAAUCAGAAAGCCACGGCUAACUACGUGCCAGCAGCCGCGGUAAUACGUAGGUGGCAAGCGUUAUCCGGAAUUAUUGGGCGUAAAGCGCGCGUAGGCGGUUUUUUAAGUCUGAUGUGAAAGCCCACGGCUCAACCGUGGAGGGUCAUUGGAAACUGGAAAACUUGAGUGCAGAAGAGGAAAGUGGAAUUCCAUGUAUAGCGGUGAAAUGCGCAGAGAUAUGGAGGAACACCAGUGGCGAAGGCGACUUUCUGGUCUGUAACUGACGCUGAUGUGCGAAAGCGUGGGGAUCAAACAGGAUUAGAUACCCUGGUAGUCCAUGCCGUAAACGAUGAGUGCUAAGUGUUAGGGGGUUUCCGCCCCUUAGUGCUGCAGCUAACGCAUUAAGCACUCCGCCUGGGGAGUACGACCGCAAGGUUGAAACUCAAAGGAAUUGACGGGGACCCGCACAAGCGGUGGAGCAUGUGGUUUAAUUCGAAGCAACGCGAAGAACCUUACCAAAUCUUGACAUCCUUUGACAACUCUAGAGAUAGAGCCUUCCCCUUCGGGGGACAAAGUGACAGGUGGUGCAUGGUUGUCGUCAGCUCGUGUCGUGAGAUGUUGGGUUAAGUCCCGCAACGAGCGCAACCCUUAAGCUUAGUUGCCAUCAUUAAGUUGGGCACUCUAAGUUGACUGCCGGUGACAAACCGGAGGAAGGUGGGGAUGACGUCAAAUCAUCAUGCCCCUUAUGAUUUGGGCUACACACGUGCUACAAUGG